rnacentral:rRNA from 1 species
CUGGAGGUAUCAGAAGUGCGAAUGCUGACAUAAGUAACGAUAAAGCGGGUGAAAAGCCCGCUCGCCGGAAGACCAAGGGUUCCUGUCCAACGUUAAUCGGGGCAGGGUGAGUCGACCCCUAAGGCGAGGCCGAAAGGCGUAGUCGAUGGGAAACGGGUUAAUAUUCCCGUACUUGGUGUUACUGCGAAGGGGGGACGGAGAAGGCUAUGUUGGCCGGGCGACGGUUGUCCCGGUUUAAGCGUGUAGGUGUGUGUUCCAGGUAAAUCCGGUUCACUUUAACACUGAGGCGUGAUGACGAGGCACUACGGUGCUGAAGCAACAAAUGCCCUGCUUCCAGGAAAAGCCUCUAAGCAUCAGGUAACAUCAAAUCGUACCCCAAACCGACACAGGUGGUCAGGUAGAGAAUACCAAGGCGCUUGAGAGAACUCGGGUGAAGGAACUAGGCAAAAUGGUGCCGUAACUUCGGGAGAAGGCACGCUGACACGUAGGUGAAGUGAUUUACUCAUGGAGCUGAAGUCAGUCGAAGAUACCAGCUGGCUGCAACUGUUUAUUAAAAACACAGCACUGUGCAAACACGAAAGUGGACGUAUACGGUGUGACGCCUGCCCGGUGCCGGAAGGUUAAUUGAUGGGGUCAGCGCAAGCGAAGCUCCUGAUCGAAGCCCCGGUAAACGGCGGCCGUAACUAUAACGGUCCUAAGGUAGCGAAAUUCCUUGUCGGGUAAGUUCCGACCUGCACGAAUGGCGUAAUGAUGGCCAGGCUGUCUCCACCCGAGACUCAGUGAAAUUGAACUCGCUGUGAAGAUGCAGUGUACCCGCGGCAAGACGGAAAGACCCCGUGAACCUUUACUAUAGCUUGACACUGAACAUUGAGCCUUGAUGUGUAGGAUAGGUGGGAGGCUUUGAAGUGUGGACGCCAGUCUGCAUGGAGCCGGCCUUGAAAUACCACCCUUUAAUGUUUGAUGUUCUAACGUGGACCCGUGAUCCGGGUUGCGGACAGUGUCUGGUGGGUAGUUUGACUGGGGCGGUCUCCUCCUAAAGAGUAACGGAGGAGCACGAAGGUUGGCUAAUCCUGGUCGGACAUCAGGAGGUUAGUGCAAUGGCAUAAGCCAGCUUGACUGCGAGCGUGACGGCGCGAGCAGGUGCGAAAGCAGGUCAUAGUGAUCCGGUGGUUCUGAAUGGAAGGGCCAUCGCUCAACGGAUAAAAGGUACUCCGGGGAUAACAGGCUGAUACCGCCCAAGAGUUCAUAUCGACGGCGGUGUUUGGCACCUCGAUGUCGGCUCAUCACAUCCUGGGGCUGAAGUAGGUCCCAAGGGUAUGGCUGUUCGCCAUUUAAAGUGGUACGCGAGCUGGGUUUAGAACGUCGUGAGACAGUUCGGUCCCUAUCUGCCGUGGGCGCUGGAGAACUGAGGGGGGCUGCUCCUAGUACGAGAGGACCGGAGUGGACGCAUCACUGGUGUUCGGGUUGUCAUGCCAAUGGCACUGCCCGGUAGCUAAAUGCGGAAGAGAUAAGUGCUGAAAGCAUCUAAGCACGAAACUUGCCCCGAGAUGAGUUCUC